rnacentral:rRNA from 1 species
UCUGGGAAGAACAAAAUGACGGUACCAGAGGAAUCAGCAUCGGCUAACUCCGUGCCAGCAGCCGCGGUAAGACGGAGGAUGCAAGCGUUAUCCGGAAUGAUUGGGCGUAAAGCGUCCGUAGGUGGCAGUUCAAGUCUGCUGUCAAGGACCGGGGCUCAACCUCGGAAAGGCAGUGGAAACUGAACAGCUAGAGUAUGGUAGGGGCAAAGGGAAUUCCUGGUGUAGCGGUGAAAUGCGUAGAGAUCAG